rnacentral:rRNA from 1 species
GACGAACGCUGGCGGCGUGCUUAACACAUGCAAGUCGAACGGAAAGGCCCUGCUUUUGUGGGGUGCUCGAGUGGCGAACGGGUGAGUAACACGUGAGUAACCUGCCCUUGACUUUGGGAUAACUUCAGGAAACUGGGGCUAAUACCGGAUAGGAGCUCCUGCUGCAUGGUGGGGGUUGGAAAGUUUCGGCGGUUGGGGAUGGACUCGCGGCUUAUCAGCUUGUUGGUGGGGUAGUGGCUUACCAAGGCUUUGACGGGUAGCCGGCCUGGGAGGGUGACCGGCCACAUUGGGACUGAGGUACGGCCCAGACUGCUACGGGAGGCAACAGUGGGGAAUAUUGCACAAUGGGCGGAAGCCUGAUGCAGCAACGCCGCGUGCGGGAUGACGGCCUUCGGGGUGUGAACCGCUUUCGCCUGUGACGAAGCGUGAGUGACGGUAAUGGGUGAAGAAGCACCGGCUAACUACGUG